CCUGGGUACGGUCCUGAGGACCUUAAAAAUAGUAAUAGGUAUUUAGGGUUAAAGUAAAAUCGUUAUGUGAUAAAUGACAAAUAUUUUUAGAGGAAAUGCCUAGCCAUAAAUAACAGAAAUAAAAUUACAAAAUUCAGGUACAUCUGAGAAAGUAGAGGCGUCUGGGGUUUUGCCAAGCUGCCAGGGCACCCCCAGGAAUCCUCUGCGUUUGCUGAGCUGCGCCCCCUCCUGGCCCGGGAGGUCUGUGUGGUUUCCGUUUGCAAGGGCUGCGCAGACAGGAACCCGCAAGGCUGGUCCCGAACCACAGCGCGUGCCCCCGCCUCCCGUUUCAGAGGAAGUAGGCUGGAAGGUCGGGACCAAGGGCAGCCUCCCUCCUCCUGCUCCCUCCUCUGGCACAGAGCUGAGUCACUCAAGCGCCGGGCAUUCACCCCAAAGACAGCCGAGGUGGUGGGGCUCUGAGGUUUCCGGUGCUGGCAGAGGACAAACGUCAUCUCACUCACCCCCACAUACCUUAGAGGAAGGAGCCACAUCAUCACACUUCGCCAUGUGACCCUGCACAUGAUCUGCCUGUGACUCACUGCUGCGGCACUGACCUUGAUCGUCUGGCUGAGCAGGUGAAUUGCUUGGAAAUCUGCUCCAGAGAUUCACCCAAUUUUUAAAGAAUCACUGAAGCUCUAAGUUCUCACUGUCCUGGUUGCAGACUCCACUGGGCAAGUGGGACCCGCCAGAGUUCCAAGCCUGGGUGGCGUUUGCAUUGCACAAGAGAAGCUGCUUUGUCACGGGUUUCGCCUUCUCACGGCGCAGAGGAGGCUCUCUGCGGUGAAGGGACAAGCGCCAGGUCACACGGUGCGCCUGCAGCUGUCGGGCUUGAACCACCUGCUCCCCCUCGCGCCCCGCCCCGCCCCGCCAGCCGCAUGCUGUACAGCCUGAAGCAAGCCCCCACACAGGCAGGGAGGAAAUGCCACCAGCCUGGACCUCCUCUUGCUCCAUGGGCCGCCAUCGACCCUGGAGACACAGAUUUCCGAGAGUCCCCUGGCUGCUCCGGAAUCUCCGGAGAGAAAAACUAAGAGGUCCGGAGAGGCUGCAGAAUACUCGAUCUGAAGGGCGCCCCUGGAUGCCACCCGCUCCCCUCGGCUUUCUCCAGUGGCUCGGCGGGCGCCCACGCAGGAGGAAGCCCGUGUUACCCUCGGCACCUGACCAGCUCCUGAGGGGGAAUCUGGGGUCCUGGAUGGCGGCUUCUGACCUCCCCGAUCUCCCUGCUCCUCAGACCAGGGGAACUCGGGUUCCCAGGCUCCACAGAGGUGCUAGAUCUCCCUGGGAGAAGCCUUUCUGGCUCUCUGGGCUGGGUAGUCUUCCUCUGUAAAGUGGGGGUAAGGGCUGUCUCCUCCAGGAGGCUCAGGCUCCUGUGUCCAGCGUCCCGAUGGUGGGGUCUCAGCUGGUCACCGCCCCUUGCCCUCCCCCUGCAGCAGUGGCGCCCCCUGCUGGCAGGGUGCCUCUUGGCACGCUCUGCGGUGCGGCCUUUGCUCUCUGCCUCCCCCUGCAGGCCAUCUUGCCAAGGGCGGCUUAGAGAAAAGCCACCAAGAGGGAGGUCAGGUUCAGGGCUCUACUCUCCAGCCCUCUAGGAUGGGGCAGAACCGGGCCUUCAGCCCCAUUGCCAACCUCAAUUCCAAACGCAACUCCUGCCACUAAGAGAGCUGCAGCAGUCUUAUGGAAACUUUCAAAAUCUACCCCAACGCUUUGUCCUUUGUAAAAUGUGAAAUGCCAAAAAAUUUUUUAAAGCUAGACCUGAAUUGGUGGGGGAGGGGCGUAAAAUCCUUGGGUAAAAUAACGGUGCAUUUUUUUUUCUUUUUGUCUUUUUGAGACAGGGUCUCGCAUUGCAGUUCAGGCUGGCCUUGAGCUCACUUUGUAGCCCAGGCUGGUAAGGUGCACUUUUGAAUGGCCUGGCUCAGUAAAUCACCACAAAGAAAACACGCUCCCGAAAUUCCCAGGGCAGAGCAGAAAGCCCCACGGUGUCUGCCCCUAGUCUCUCUGCCUUUCCUCUGCCCUGCAUAGAGGUGCAGCUCCUAUCUUCUCACGUUCUCUGCUCUCCAAAAGUCAUUCAUGGGGGCCCCAUAUAGAGUCCUGGAAUGCAAAACAAAAACAAAAAAGCAAGUAAGUAGAGUCCUGGCAGCAUUAUCCAAACCCCUUCUCCGGCUUGGCCCUGCCCCUCCCCGCUGGCCCUGCGCCUGUCUCUCUAACCCCGCAAGAAACUCCGCAGGCUGCCCCCAUCCUCUGCCUCUCCCAGGCUCUCCUUGUCGGCUCUCAUGCCCACAAGAGAAAUCCUUCUCUCCCCGUUCUGGAGACCGGAAGCUCUGAGCCAGGGUAUGGCAGGCCCUGCCCUCCCUGAGGGCUCGGGGGAGAAUCCUUCCCUUCCUGCUCCUGGCUUCUGCUGGCUGCCCGCCAACCUUGCACUCGCGGGCUGGUGGCCGCAUCACUGCAGCCUUUGCCUGCAGCAUCACGGUCUUCUCCCUGUGUGUGUUGUCAAAUGUUGCCUUUCCUCUGUGGGUCUGUUUUCUGUUCUUAUCAGGACCCCUGUCAGUGGAGUAGGGGCUUAAUCCUACAUUUAAGUUGCCUUCAUCCUA